AGCGUACACGGUGGAUGCCCUGGCAGUCAGAGGCGAUGAAGGACGUGCUAAUCUGCGAUAAGCGUCGGUAAGGUGAUAUGAACCGUUAUAACCGGCGAUUUCCGAAUGGGGAAACCCAGUGUGUUUCGACACACUAUCAUUAACUGAAUCCAUAGGUUAAUGAGGCGAACCGGGGGAACUGAAACAUCUAAGUACCCCGAGGAAAAGAAAUCAACCGAGAUUCCCCCAGUAGCGGCGAGCGAACGGGGAGGAGCCCAGAGCCUGAAUCAGUGUGUGUGUUAGUGGAAGCGUCUGGAAAGGCGCGCGAUACAGGGUGACAGCCCCGUACACAAAAAUGCACAUGCUGUGAGCUCGAUGAGUAGGGCGGGACACGUGGUAUCCUGUCUGAAUAUGGGGGGACCAUCCUCCAAGGCUAAAUACUCCUGACUGACCGAUAGUGAACCAGUACCGUGAGGGAAAGGCGAAAAGAACCCCGGCGAGGGGAGUGAAAAAGAACCUGAAACCGUGUACGUACAAGCAGUGGGAGCCUCUUUUAUGGGGUGACUGCGUACCUUUUGUAUAAUGGGUCAGCGACUUAUAUUCUGUAGCAAGGUUAACCGAAUAGGGGAGCCGAAGGGAAACCGAGUCUUAACUGGGCGUUAAGUUGCAGGGUAUAGACCCGAAACCCGGUGAUCUAGCCAUGGGCAGGUUGAAGGUUGGGUAACACUAACUGGAGGACCGAACCGACUAAUGUUGAAAAAUUAGCGGAUGACUUGUGGCUGGGGGUGAAAGGCCAAUCAAACCGGGAGAUAGCUGGUUCUCCCCGAAAGCUAUUUAGGUAGCGCCUCGUGAAUUCAUCUCCGGGGGUAGAGCACUGUUUCGGCAAGGGGGUCAUCCCGACUUACCAACCCGAUGCAAACUGCGAAUACCGGAGAAUGUUAUCACGGGAGACACACGGCGGGUGCUAACGUCCGUCGUGAAGAGGGAAACAACCCAGACCGCCAGCUAAGGUCCCAAAGUCAUGGUUAAGUGGGAAACGAUGUGGGAAGGCCCAGACAGCCAGGAUGUUGGCUUAGAAGCAGCCAUCAUUUAAAGAAAGCGUAAUAGCUCACUGGUCGAGUCGGCCUGCGCGGAAGAUGUAACGGGGCUAAACCAUGCACCGAAGCUGCGGCAGCGACGCUUAUGCGUUGUUGGGUAGGGGAGCGUUCUGUAAGCCUGUGAAGGUGUACUGUGAGGUAUGCUGGAGGUAUCAGAAGUGCGAAUGCUGACAUAAGUAACGAUAAAGCGGGUGAAAAGCCCGCUCGCCGGAAGACCAAGGGUUCCUGUCCAACGUUAAUCGGGGCAGGGUGAGUCGACCCCUAAGGCGAGGCCGAAAGGCGUAGUCGAUGGGAAACAGGUUAAUAUUCCUGUACUUGGUGUUACUGCGAAGGGGGGACGGAGAAGGCUAUGUUGGCCGGGCGACGGUUGUCCCGGUUUAAGCGUGUAGGCUGGUUUUCCAGGCAAAUCCGGAAAAUCAAGGCUGAGGCGUGAUGACGAGGCACUACGGUGCUGAAGCAACAAAUGCCCUGCUUCCAGGAAAAGCCUCUAAGCAUCAGGUAACAUCAAAUCGUACCCCAAACCGACACAGGUGGUCAGGUAGAGAAUACCAAGGCGCUUGAGAGAACUCGGGUGAAGGAACUAGGCAAAAUGGUGCCGUAACUUCGGGAGAAGGCACGCUGAUAUGUAGGUGAAGUGAUUUACUCAUGGAGCUGAAAUCAGUCGAAGAUACCAGCUGGCUGCAACUGUUUAUUAAAAACACAGCACUGUGCAAACACGAAAGUGGACGUAUACGGUGUGACGCCUGCCCGGUGCCGGAAGGUUAAUUGAUGGGGUCAGCGCAAGCGAAGCUCUUGAUCGAAGCCCCGGUAAACGGCGGCCGUAACUAUAACGGUCCUAAGGUAGCGAAAUUCCUUGUCGGGUAAGUUCCGACCUGCACGAAUGGCGUAAUGAUGGCCAGGCUGUCUCCACCCGAGACUCAGUGAAAUUGAACUCGCUGUGAAGAUGCAGUGUACCCGCGGCAAGACGGAAAGACCCCGUGAACCUUUACUAUAGCUUGACACUGAACAUUGAGCCUUGAUGUGUAGGAUAGGUGGGAGGCUUUGAAGUGUGGACGCCAGUCUGCAUGGAGCCGACCUUGAAAUACCACCCUUUAAUGUUUGAUGUUCUAACGUUGACCCGUAAUCCGGGUUGCGGACAGUGUCUGGUGGGUAGUUUGACUGGGGCGGUCUCCUCCUAAAGAGUAACGGAGGAGCACGAAGGUUGGCUAAUCCUGGUCGGACAUCAGGAGGUUAGUGCAAUGGCAUAAGCCAGCUUGACUGCGAGCGUGACGGCGCGAGCAGGUGCGAAAGCAGGUCAUAGUGAUCCGGUGGUUCUGAAUGGAAGGGCCAUCGCUCAACGGAUAAAAGGUACUCCGGGGAUAACAGGCUGAUACCGCCCAAGAGUUCAUAUCGACGGCGGUGUUUGGCACCUCGAUGUCGGCUCAUCACAUCCUGGGGCUGAAGUAGGUCCCAAGGGUAUGGCUGUUCGCCAUUUAAAGUGGUACGCGAGCUGGGUUUAGAACGUCGUGAGACAGUUCGGUCCCUAUCUGCCGUGGGCGCUGGAGAACUGAGGGGGGCUGCUCCUAGUACGAGAGGACCGGAGUGGACGCAUCACUGGUGUUCGGGUUGUCAUGCCAAUGGCACUGCCCGGUAGCUAAAUGCGGAAGAGAUAAGUGCUGAAAGCAUCUAAGCACGAAACUUGCCCCGAGAUGAGUUCU
rnacentral:rRNA from 1 species